rnacentral:rRNA from 1 species
CCUACGGGAGGCAGCAGUGAGGAAUAUUGUUCAAUUUACUCUCUUCUUCCCCCUCCCCUUCUCUUUCCUUAUGCCUUCCCUCUUUUUUUUAAACUUCUUUUAUAUGGGAAUAAAACAGGGUAUGCAUACCCUCUUGUAUGUACCAUAUGAAUAAGGAUCGGCUAACUCCGUGCCAGCAGCCGCGGUAAUACGGAGGAUCCGAGCGUUAUCCGGAUUUAUUGGGUUUAAAGGGAGCGUAGGUGGAUUGUUAAGUCAGUUGUGAAAGUUUGCGGCUCAACCGUAAAAUUGCAGUUGAAACUGGCAGUCUUGAGUACAGUAGAGGUGGGCGGAAUUCGUGGUGUAGCGGUGAAAUGCUUAGAUAUCACGAAGAACUCCGAUUGCGAAGGCAGCUCACUGGACUGCAACUGACACUGAUGCUCGAAAGUGUGGGUAUCAAACAGGAUUAGAUACCCGAGUAGUC